AGGGUGAAAAGAACCUGAAACCGUUACGGGGGAAGCGAAUUGCGUCGAAUUGAUUUUAUGGGGGGUGCACUGUUCAGCGCGUUUUGCGUGUACUCAGGGCAUUUUUCCUUACCCGUCGUGGGUUUUUGGAUGGUCGAAUUUGGGCCGUCUAGGACUGAGGGAUCCUCUUUGUUUAUAAGGGUGAGGACGAUGGGGCGCUGACGCGAUACGACCCGUCUUGAAACACGGACCAAGGAGUUCAGCAUAUGUGCGAGUCAAAGGGUGGUGAAACCUGAGGGCGCAGUGAAAGCGAUUUAACACGGAUCGUGUAAGAACUAAAACAUAUAAUUUUCAGUUUUAAGGCGGCAUACAAUGGGUGAUUGUAGGACCGACCUCGAGCAGAUAUGCUGAGACCCGAAAGAUGGUGAACUAUGCCGGAGUAGGGCGAAGCCAGAGGAAACUCUGGUGGAGGCUCGUAGCGGUGCUGACGUGCAAAUCGCUCGUCUGACUUGGGUAUAGGGGCGAAAGACUAAUCGAACCAUCUAGUAGCUGGUUUCCUCCGAAGUUUCUCUCAGGAUAGCAGGUCGACGAAAAGUUGUUGUGUGCGGUAAAGCGAAUGAUUAGCGUAUUUGGGGGUGAUUAGCCUCCAGUCGAUUCUCAAACUUUAAAUGCUCAC
rnacentral:rRNA from 1 species